UCGUAUAACUGAGGCACAAGGGCUGUCGCUGACUUUUUGUCGUGCACGCCCAAAAGUGCUCUCAAUCAUCCAUCUCACCCCUAUGUGCACCACCGCGUGGGUCCCCCUUUGGCUUGUCCUCAGGGGGGCUUGCGUUUUCAUACAAACUCGAUACAGUGUAGAAUGUCUUUAUUUUGCGGUAACACGCAAUCAAUA
rnacentral:misc_RNA from 1 species